rnacentral:rRNA from 1 species
AUUGAACGCUGGCGGCAUGCCUUACACAUGCAAGUCGAACGGUAACGGGCCUUCGGGUGCCGACGAGUGGCGGACGGGUGAGUAAUACAUCGGAACGUGCCCGAUCGUGGGGGAUAACGAGGCGAAAGCUUUGCUAAUACCGCAUACGAUCUACGGAUGACAGCAGGGGACCGCAAGGCCUUGCGCGGACGGAGCGGCCGAUGGCAGAUUAGGUAGUUGGUGGGAUAAAAGCUUACCAAGCCGACGAUCUGUAGCUGGUCUGAGAGGAUGAUCAGCCACACUGGGACUGAGACACGGCCCAGACUCCUACGGGAGGCAGCAGUGGGGAAUUUUGGACAAUGGGCGCAAGCCUGAUCCAGCCAUGCCGCGUGCAGGAUGAAGGCCUUCGGGUUGUAAACUGCUUUUGUACGGAACGAAAAGCCUUCUUUUAAUACAGGAGGGUCAUGACGGUACCGUAAGAAUAAGCACCGGCUAACUACGUG